rnacentral:rRNA from 1 species
GAUGAACGCUGGCGGCGUGCCUAAUACAUGCAAGUCGAGCGAACAGACGAGGAGCUUGCUCCUCUGACGUUAGCGGCGGACGGGUGAGUAACACGUGGAUAACCUACCGAUAAGACUGGGAUAACUUCGGGAAACCGGAGCUAAUACCGGAUAAUAUAUUGAACCGCAUGGUUCAAUAGUGAAAGACGGUUUUGCUGUCACUUAUAGAUGGAUCCUCGCCGCAUUAGCUAGUUGGUAAGGUAACGGCUUACCAAGGCAACGAUGCGUAGCCGACCUGAGAGGGUGAUCGGCCACACUGGAACUGAGACACGGUCCAGACUCCUACGGGAGGCAGCAGUAGGGAAUAUUCCGCAAUGGGCGAAAGCCUGACGGAGCAACGCCGCGUGAGUGAUGAAGGUCUUCGGAUCGUAAAACUCUGUUAUUAGGGAAGAACAAAUGUGUAAGUAACUCUGCACGUCUUGACGGUACCUAAUCAGAAAGCCACGGCUAACUACGUG